GACGAACGCUGGCGGCGUGCUUAACACAUGCAAGUCGAACGGAAAGGCCCUGCUUUUGUGGGGUGCUCGAGUGGCGAACGGGUCAGUAACACGUGAGUAACCUGCCCUUGACUUUGGGAUAACUUCAGGAAACUGGGGCUAAUACCGGAUAGGAGCUCCUGCUUCAUGGUGGGGGUUGGAAAGUUUCGGCGGUUGGGGAUGGACUGCGCUGCUUAUCAGCUUGUUGGUGGGGUAGUGGCUUACCAAGGCUUUGACGGGUAGCCGGCCUGAGAGGGUGAACAGCGACAUGGGUACUGAGAUACGGCGCAGGCUCCUACGGGAGGCAGCAGUGGGAGAUAUUGCACAAUGGGCGGAAGCCUGAUGCGGCAACGCCGCGUGCGGAAUGGCGGCCUUCGGGGUGUAAACCGCUUUCGCGUGUGAGGAAGCGUGAGUGACGUUAAUGGGUAAGGAAGCACCGGAUAACUACGUGCAAGCAGCCGCCGUAA
rnacentral:rRNA from 1 species